rnacentral:rRNA from 1 species
UACAGAGGGGGCAAGCGUUGUUCGGAAUUACUGGGCGUAAAGGGCGCGUAGGCGGCCCGCUAAGUCGAACGUGAAAUCCCCAGGCUCAACCUGGGAACUGCGUCCGAUACUGGCAGGCUUGAAUCCGGGAGAGGUGAGUGGAACUGCGAGUGUAGAGGUGAAAUUCGUAGAUAUUCGCAAGAACACCAGUGGCGAAGGCGGCUCACUGGCCCGGUACUGACGCUGAGGUGCGAAAGCGUGGGGAGCAACAGG